AGUGGCGUACGGGUGAGUAGCGCGUAGGAACCAACCCUGGAGUGUGGGACAACCUCGGGAAACUGAGGCUAAUACCGCAUAGCCCCUCAGGGGGAAAGGAGUGAUCCGCUCCAGGACGGGCCUGCGCCCGAUUAGCUAGUUGGUAGGGUAAAAGCUUACCAAGGCGACGAUCGGUAGCUGGUCUGAGAGGACGGCCAGCCACACUGGGACUGAGACACGGCCCAGACUCCUGCGGGAGGCAGCAGUGGGGGAUAUUGGACAAUGGGCGAAAGCCUGAUCCAGCCAUGCCGCGUGAGUGAAGAAGGCCUUCGGGUUGUAAAUCUCUUUCAGCAGGGAAGAUGAUGACGGUACCUGCAGAAGAAGCCCCGGCUAACUUCGUGCCAGCAGCCGCGGUAAUACGAAGGGGGCUAGCGUUGUUCGAAAUUACUGGGCGUAAAGGGCAUGCAGGCGGUUUAGUCAGUCAGAGGUGAAAGCCCAGGGCUCAACCCUGGAAGGGCCUUUGAGACGGCUAGACUUGAGUCCGGGAGAGGAUGGCGGAAUUCCCAGUGUAGAGGUGAAAUUCGUAGAUAUUGGGAAGAACACCAGUGGCGAAGGCGGCCAUCUGGACCGGUUCUGA
rnacentral:rRNA from 1 species